GUAAAUUCUCAUUGGACAAGGGCCAUGCAGUUUUUAUGAGCAACAGUAGUCCUCUUCCUGAAGAGUUCAUGUUAAAAAAAGUUUGGUGUAGGGAGUGUGGCUCAGUAUUAGAGCACUUGGCUAUCAUGUGCAAAGCCUGUGCACAAUCCCCAGCACCCUGCAAAGGUGUAUUGGGUAUAUCAUUAAAUCUAUAGUACUAAAAUGGAAAUGUUCUUAGUUGGUUGAGGGCCUGUCAUUUCAGUUAUCAAUUUACUGAUUUAAGGAAUGAUUGUUUUGUAGCCAGUUGGAAACUUCUAACUGUUCAGUAAAGUAAUGCAGCAACAUCAUUUGUUGGACAGUGGCACCUACUGGUAGUGUAUACUUUUUAUAGCUCAGCUUGAAAGUCACUGUAGUAUUUGCCUUGGAAAAGGGGGAGUAUAACAAAAUUCCUAGAAUUUUACAAAUUAAAAGUGAAAGAUUGGAGAGAGUCUUUUGGUGCACAGAAAGAAAGCAUGAACUAGAAAUGAUACAAGAACAAAGAUAGAUGUGUGGGAUGUUUAAGGACUACUCAUAUCUCUCCUCAGGCCUGUGUAUGUGGUAUAGAACCCAGGAAGUUUCUUUUAUAUCAUGUCUUAGGUUGUGAAUAUAUUUAUGAGUGAGGAUCAUAGUUUAUGAGUUCAGUAUAAAAUGAUGUAUUGAAGGGGAGGCAGAACACUAUGGUAAAAGGGAGUGGCAGAGGAAAGCAAUUUAGGACAGGUAACCAGAAGGAACGUGAGCUCUGCUCUUCAAGGACAAAAUAUAAGCCCUUAAGGCGCACUCCUGUUUAUCUACUUCCUCCAACCAUGGUCUACCUUGUCAUAUUUGGUAGGUAGAGCCCAGAGUAACUUAUCGUUAGAGACUAGCUUCACAUUUUUGCUUUUAUUUCAGAUGGGCUGGGAUAGAUAAAUGAGGUUUAAAAAGCUGCAGAUAGAUUAGGGCUUUUAGUGAAACUAUUCUGUAUGAUACUAUAAUAUAAUGGUGGAUAUCAUGACAUGCAUUUAUCAAAGCCUGUAGAACUGUAUAACCUAAGAAGUGAACCCAGAAGUAAAACUAUGGAUUUUACUUAUCAAUAUUGGUUCAACUAGUUGGUUCAAUUAACACUAAGGUAAGAUGUUAAUAAUAGGGGAAAUUGGGGAGGGCAGUGUGAUAAGGGGGUUUAUAGAUAUAACUUCCUGUCCUUUCUGCUCAGUUUUUCUAUAAGCCUACAGUUGUUCUAAAAUAAAGUCUAUUAUUUAGAAAAGGCUGUCAAUAAUGAUGAAAGAAAGUCUUGACAUGUUCUUGUCCUUUAUAUCAAACGUAAUCUAAGAGGGAAAAUCCAGUAUGUAUUGAUGUAUGGAUUUAUCCCUUCCUAUCAACUUGGCCUCUCUUUACUUACCCACUUUACUUUUAGACUUUUUUUUUGGUAUUGAGAUUGAACCUAGGGGUGCUUAACCAUUGAGUCAGGUCCCCAGCCCUUUUCAUUUUUUAUUUUGAGACAGAGUCUCACUAACUUGUUUAGGGCCUCACUAAGUUGCUGAGGCUGGCUUUGAACUUGUGAUCCUCCUUCCUCAGCCUCCUGAGCUGCUGGGGAUCACAGGUGUGUGCCACUGUUCCUGACUACUUCUAGAUUUUUAUUACAGUGUUCAUUGAUGGUUAGGAGCUAUCCCACGAGAUUUGUUAUUCCACGUAUUUGUGCAUAGGUGAGUAGAAGCUGUGGUUAGUUUCCUCUAAUGAAAUAACAUUCCUAUCUUCCAUGCUUGAAUAAGUGCAGGGAGAAUCUUCCUAUGAUGUGGGUGGCUGAACACCAUGAUUUCAGUUCUGAACUUGUAAUCAUGCUAGACUGAGAGUACCACUCUUAUUUAGAGAUCUCACCUAAAUAGACACAGACCAUAUCUGUGAUUUGCAACCGAAUGUAGACUAUUAAAAGACCUCAUUCAAAGUUUCAAGACCUUAUUCAAGGAUUUAAGCUGUUAUCCUUUGGCUGUUCUCUGUAUUUUGCUUGUGUAAUUGUUUUUGAGAACCACAGUCUGUGUUGAACAGAUCAUCUUUCCACUUCACUGGGAUUGUCCAUGAACUUGUCUCAUUGCCUAAGCCUCUUUGUGUAAAGUUUGCCUGCAGUUCCUCAUUCCUUGUUCUAGAUAUGCUUAUUUUCAAGGUAGAAACUCCUUCAAAUGGCCUGUCAUAGGUUGUGGGGCCUUACUGUUCGUUUCCAAAAGGACAAACAUCAGAACUGAUGUUCACUAAGAAGCAGGGCAGAUCAGUUCCUUUCAGGACAGCAUAGAUGAAAACUCAGAUUAGUGUUUGUUCUUUUUGAAUUGGAACUGUUCUAACUGCUGUACACCUAAUAGUGUCAAGAACUGAGGGUCCUUUUAGGAGAGCUCAGUUUCCUAAACUUCAAGUAAAGUUAGCAAGUCAUGAAAACUGCUUAAUGAGGCUUACUUUUCAUCUUUCAGUCAGAGUAGUAGAGCUAAAAGAAAGCUCAGAGAUCUGUUAGUUUUAAUUGACUUCAUUCAUUAGGGCACAGAAAACAGCCAUACAUUUUAGACAGUACAUAACUUCCUCAGGCCAUAGUUUUAAUACUGUGGAACAGAAUCUUGCUUAAUGUGUCCUAAUCCAUUGGCCUUUUUACCACAAAAUGCUGCUUUUGACAAAAUGCUACCAGAGCCAGUUAGAAGUUGAAGCUGGAAUUUGCUAACCUGUGUUCACAAGAUCUUUCUUGCAAAUCAUUUCUACUGUUCAUGUUAGGUUAAAAUAUACAAUUGAUUUUUCUGCUGAGAGUUUGUAGUUGCUGGGAAGUAUUCUAUGCCAAUUUUAUUAGAAUUCAAAAAGACCUUAGACUAAAGGAUAACUGUAUCACAAAUUUUAAGAAAAUUUAUAUAGACUUUUUAUUUUUAUUCAUAAUUUGAAUUUAUUCAAUAAAUGUGAGUUUUCUUUCUAGGAUACUAUCUGUUCAUAAGUCAGGGAGAGGCACCUUGGAAAGUAAGUGUGUUCAAACACUGAAAACUUUGGAUAUCAAGAUCCCUCAUCAUAUUGUUCUUAACAUGAUUGGAUGGCAUAUUGUUUGUUAUGACUCUUCACUGUAAAUUAAUUUUCAUUUACAGUUCCCUUGAAAUUCUGUAGAAGCUAAUUAUUAGCUGUGUCAACUGUUCCCCCCCACUUUUUUUUCUGGUACUGGGGGUUGAACUCAGGGGCACUUGACCACAGAGCCACAUCCCAGCCCUAUUUUGUAUUUUAUUUCGAGUUGCUUAGUGCCUCACCAUUGCUGAGGCUGGCUUUGAACUCGCAAUCCUUCUGUCUCAGCCUCCUGAGCUGCUGGGAUUACAGGCGUUUAUCACUGUGCCUGGCUCUGCUUCUCCUUUUAUUCUUCCUUUCUUUCAUUGUUCUUGAUGAAAGAAAUGAAAGUAAUAUUGCUAACUUUUCAAAUACAUGUGAUGAAAUUUUGUGGCAGAAGAAUUUUUUAUUCCACAAUACAAUCUCUCACUGAAACACAAAAUAAUACUAAAUUAGUUUUGUUAUUUUUGGCCCUUAUUACAGACCAUCUGAAAUUAGUAUUGUGUACAUAUAUUUUUUUCAUAACUGUUUUUGAGACAGGGUGUGUCACUUAGGCUGGUCUUGAACUCCUGGACUCAAGCAAUCCUCUUGCCGUAGCCUCUUGGGUAGCUGGGACUAUAGGCAUGCAGCACUGUACCUUGCUAUUUGAAAGCUUUUUGUAUGAAUGCAAAAAUAAUAUGUAUUUUUGUGGACAACUUGAAAAAAACCCAAAAGUACAAAGAAAAUACUCCUCACUUGUAAUUCUGGUAUCUAAUGAUAACCACUAUUUUGGCACAUAGUUUCUUAGUUAAUAGUAUAUAUUAGAUUUUUUUGUGGGGGGCAGAUACCAAUUGAGCCUAGGAACAUAUAACCACUGAGCCACAUCCCCAUCCCUUUUUAUAUUUUAUUUUGAGACACCAUCUUGCUAAGGUGCUUAGGGUCUCACUAAGAUGCUGAGGCUGGCUCUGAACUUGCGAUCCUCCUGCCUUAUCCCCCCCGAGCCUCUGGGAUUACAGGUGUGUGCCACUGUUUUUAAUAGUGAUAUAACUGAGUUCAUGUAUGAUUUUCUUUAAAUAUACAAUUUUCAUUCAUUUUAUAUUAUUCUAUAGCAUCAUUUGUUAAUACCUGCAUAUUUUUCUA
rnacentral:lncRNA from 1 species